rnacentral:rRNA from 1 species
GACGGAGGAUGCAAGUGUUAUCCGGAAUCACUGGGCGUAAAGCGUCUGUAGGUGGUCAAAUAAGUCAACUGUUAAAUCUUGAGGCUCAACCUCAAAAUCGCAGUCGAAACUAUUCGACUAGAGUAUAGUAGGGGUAAAGGGAAUUUCCAGUGGAGCGGUGAAAUGCGUAGAGAUUGGAAAGAACACCGAUGGCGAAGGCACUUUACUGGGCUAUUACUAACACUGAAAGACGAAAGCUAGGGUAGCAAAUGGG